rnacentral:rRNA from 1 species
GAUGAACGCUGGCGGCGUGCCUAAUACAUGCAAGUCGAGCGAACAGACGAGGAGCUUGCUCCUCUGACGUUAGCGGCGGACGGGUGAGUAACACGUGGAUAACCUACCUAUAAGACUGGGAUAACUUCGGGAAACCGGAGCUAAUACCGGAUAAUAUAUUGAACCGCAUGGUUCAAUAGUGAAAGACGGUUUUGCUGUCACUUAUAGAUGGAUCCGCGCCGCAUUAGCUAGUUGGUAAGGUAACGGCUUACCAAGGCAACGAUGCGUAGCCGACCUGAGAGGGUGGUCGGCCACACUGGAGCGGAGACACGGUCCAGACGCCUGAGGGAGGCAGCAGUAGGGAAUCUUCCGCAAUGGGCGAAAGCUUGACGGAGCAACGCCGCGUGAGUGAUGAAGGUCUUCGGAUCGUAAAGCUCUGUUAUUAGGGAAGAACAAAUGUGUAAGUAACUAUGCACGGCUUGACGGUACCUAAUCAGAAAGCCACGGCUAACUACGUG